CAGAAUAAGUGGUCACUGCAGUGUCUUCUCCCUUCAAAAGAUCCAACUGCUGCUGAGGUAGAAAUCGAACGUUGGCGCCCCCUAGUCCUCUUCGGCAGACUCUUGUGAGGAUGUCUCUUCAGUUUCCCGCUCUUCCGGCUCCCUGUCAGUUCAGCAGGGGAGUAUCCCACUCUAGGAACAAGUUGUCUAUUGAAAUGAGAUGCUUGUCUCUCUGCAGAUGCAGUGGUAUUCAAGUCCCUGGCUCUAGAUAAUACACAGUUUGGUAUGUCUGGGCU
rnacentral:lncRNA from 10 species